rnacentral:rRNA from 1 species
AUUGAACGCUGGCGGCAUGCUUUACACAUGCAAGUCGAACGGCAGCGCGGGCUUCGGCCUGGCGGCGAGUGGCGAACGGGUGAGUAAUGCAUCGGAACGUGCCCAGUAGUGGGGGAUAGCUCGGCGAAAGCCGGAUUAAUACCGCAUACGACCUGAGGGUGAAAGCGGGGGACCGAAAGGCCUCGCGCUAUUGGAGCGGCCGAUGUCGGAUUAGCUAGUUGGUGGGGUAAAGGCUUACCAAGGCGACGAUCCGUAGCUGGUCUGAGAGGACGACCAGCCACACUGGGACUGAGACACGGCCCAGACUCCUACGGGAGGCAGCAGUGGGGAAUUUUGGACAAUGGGGGCAACCCUGAUCCAGCCAUGCCGCGUGCGGGAAGAAGGCCUUCGGGUUGUAAACCGCUUUUGUUCGGGAAGAAAUCCUCUGGGCUAAUACCCCGGGGGGAUGACGGUACCGGAAGAAUAAGCACCGGCUAACUACGUG